AAAAAGAUAGGCUAAACUAAGCCCUUGGGCUCAUACCCCAAUUAUGAGAUUAUUCUCUCUUUUUA
rnacentral:tRNA from 1 species